AAUCUCAAUCUCAAUUUAGUCUCAAUGCAAUUCCAAUCACAAUUUUGUUUGUUACUCUUGAAGUCAUUACUAUUGCGAUUGUAUUGGCAUUGGGAUUGUCUCGUAAUUGUCGAUUCCACUGUACGUCAACAUGACAUCAACCUGUCAGCCACGGAAAUAGAACAAAUGAAUGAACGAAAACUUUAAUAAAAAUUAUAAAAUUUAAGUAAUUUUAAAGAAAAUUAUUUAUAUUCAGAGGUACUUUUAUCAAAAAUGCUUAUUUCUUACUAAUAACAUAUUUUUUAGACAAGAAUGAUCAAAUUAAAUUUUUGAAUCGGCUUAUUUGGCUGUAUGAGUUUAUUCCUGUGUCUCAACAUGUGUAGAGUUUACAAAAAAAAGUCAUAACAUAAAACAACCAGCCGACGGCCGGUUACACUUACUUAUUAAACCUAUACAAAAAGAAAUAAAUCAAUCAGCUGAAGCUGAAAAUCCAUAUUGUGUUUUAAGUGCUCGGCGCUCUUAAGUUUGUGGGACGAAGUUACCAAAAAUGAAGUUUAAAGUUGCUACAAUAUUCACGGCACAACAACGUUGUUUCUUCUUUGUUUACACUCCGAAAUUAAGUAUUGGGCAGAAAAGAAGUCUGCCUUGAAGAAGCUGUGCAACGGGCUCAGUCCAUGAGGCGCACUGGCGGUAGCUUAGAUAUGGUGCUAGGGCUGUCACUACUUUUUAUUUAUUUGUGGCAGUCAGUGGCAGUCAUGGGUGGUGGGUGACUCUCUUGCCACAGGUACCAGGGGAAUAGCUGUAGACCCCUUUCCACAAAGUAAUUCUCGCCCUUCUAAAUUAAUAGACCUGCCAUCCACAUCACAGGCUGCCACUGAAACCCUGGAAAUAGAGCAAGAAAUUCAUAUUCAUAAUCCACAGCCUCCUGUGGAGGCAGGGCUGCAGGUAGAACACAGCGAGCAGCAAGGUGAAAAAAGUUUUGUAGGCAUUAUAUGAUUCCAUACUAAUAUUUAUGAAGUUUUGUGUAGAUUUUUAAAUGUUAUUUAAAUAAUAAUUUAUUAAUUAUUACAAAUUAUAUUAGUGUUCUCUGUAUUUUAGGUCAAUAAAGAUUAUAAACAAUAAAUAUAUUUUUUAAAUAAUGAUUGUUUUUAUACUUCCUGUGAGGAUAUUCCCAACCAAAUAUUACUCAUUAUCACACACCACAUGCUGCCCACAAUUGUCGCACAAGAUUUGCUCUAGCUUCUAUACCCCUUUGCAGCUCUAUAGAAGCUCCAUCUCUUUCUUGUAGUGCAGGUUCUACAUCAACAGUUAGGUCUGUAUGUUAUUAGGGUUCUCAUCAUCUUCCACUAUUAAAUGUGCCCGGUUACACAUAUUGUGGAGCAUGCAGCAAGUGUUUAUAAUUUUUGUUGCUACAACAGGGUAAUAAUGUAACACUCUAUAUAUUAUGUGUUUAUGCAGAACACUCGGGCUGUUUAAUGCUGCACUCACAUCCCUCAAUGCUCGAGAUAAUGAUUGCUGUGACAUGGGAGUACCUAGUAUCCCGCCAGUCGCAAAGAAUGAAAGUGCUAUUAGUAUCUGUAAACCAAAACCAAUUUAUUAAACACAGGUUCUUUUGUGUUUCAGUAUCACAAACAAACACAUAAUUUCAAACAAAAUUACCUUGUAU